rnacentral:rRNA from 1 species
UGUUUGAUGUUCUAACGUGGACCCGUGAUCCGGGUUGCGGACAGUGUCUGGUGGGUAGUUUGACUGGGGCGGUCUCCUCCUAAAGAGUAACGGAGGAGCACGAAGGUUGGCUAAUCCUGGUCGGACAUCAGGAGGUUAGUGCAAUGGCAUAAGCCAGCUUGACUGCGAGCGUGACGGCGCGAGCAGGUGCGAAAGCAGGUCAUAGUGAUCCGGUGGUUCUGAAUGGAAGGGCCAUCGCUCAACGGAUAAAAGGUACUCCGGGGAUAACAGGCUGAUACCGCCCAAGAGUUCAUAUCGACGGCGGUGUUUGGCACCUCGAUGUCGGCUCAUCACAUCCUGGGGCUGAAGUAGGUCCCAAGGGUAUGGCUGUUCGCCAUUUAAAGUGGUACGCGAGCUGGGUUUAGAACGUCGUGAGACAGUUCGGUCCCUAUCUGCCGUGGGCGCUGGAGAACUGAGGGGGGCUGCUCCUAGUACGAGAGGACCGGAGUGGACGCAUCACUGGUGUUCGGGUUGUCAUGCCAAUGGCACUGCCCGGUAGCUAAAUGCGGAAGAGAUAAGUGCUGAAAGCAUCUAAGCACGAAACUUGCCCCGAGAUGAGUUCUCCCUGAGACUUUAAGUCUCCUGAAGGAACGUUGAAGACGACGACGUUGAUAGGCCGGGUGUGUAAGCGCAGCGAUGCGUUGAGCUAACCGGUACUAAU